AACGAACGCUGGCGGCGUGGAUAAGACAUGCAAGUCGAACGAAGAAUCUGAAUAGCUUGCUAAUUGGAUUCUUAGUGGCGGACGGGUUAGUAACACGUGAGAUACUUACCCCUUAGACAGGAAUAGCCCAUGGAAACGUGGAUUAAUACCUGAUAGUCUCUACGGAGUAAAGGGCGCCUUCGGGUGUCGCUAAGGGAUAGGCUCGCGGCCUAUCAGCUAGUUGGUGAGGUAAAAGCUCACCAAGGCAACGACGGGUAGCUGGUCUGAGAGGACGAUCAGCAACACUGGAACUGAGACACGGUCCAGACACCUACGGGUGGCAGCAGUCGAGAAUCAUUCACAAUGGAGGCAACUCUGAUGGUGCAACGCCGCGUGGAGGAUGACGGUCCUAGGAUUGUAAACUCCUGUCAUUGGGGAGUAAGACUUGUUCGUUAAAAGCGUGCAAGUUUGAUAGUACCCAAAGAGGAAGGGACGGCUAACUUCG
rnacentral:rRNA from 1 species